UUCACUGUGUUAGCCAGGAUGGUCUCAAUCUCCUGACCUCAUGAUCCACCCGCCUCGGCCUCCCAAAGUGCUGGAAUUAUAGAUGUGAGCCACCACACCCGGCCGUUAUUAUUUUCUUGAUAAAUUGAUUCCUUUAUCAUUAUAGUGACCUUCUUGUUUCCUGGACUUUUUGUUUUGAAAUCUAUUUUGUCUGAUAUAAGUAUAGCUACUCCUGCUUUAUCUUGUUUCUGUCGGCAUGGAAUAGCUUUUUCCAUCUGUUUAUACAGUCCAUGUGUGCAUGCAUAGGUAAAAUGUAGGCAACAGAUCACUGGGUAUCUUUUUUAAAAAAUCCAUUUAAACACUCUAUGUUGUUUGAUAGGAGAGUGAUAUGGUUAGGUUCUGUGUUCCCAACCAAAUCUCUUCCUGAAUUUGUAAUCCCCAGGUGUUGAGGGAGAGACCUGGUGGGAGGUGAUUCGAUCAUGGAGAUAGUUUUCCCCAUGCUGUUCUUGUGAUAAUGUGUGAGUUCUCACAGGAUUUGAUGGUUUUUUAAGUGUUUGACAUUUUCUCCUAUACACACUCUCUCUGUCUCUCCCAUCCACAGUGAAGAAGGUGCCAGCUUCCCCUUCUGCCAUGAUUGUAAGCUUCCUGAGGCUUCCCCAGUCAGGUGGAACUGUGAGUCAAUGAAACCUCCUUUGUUUAUAAAUUACCCAGUUGCAGGUAGUAUUUUUAUUGCAGUGUGAAAAUGAACUAAUACAGUAAAUUGUUAUCUCAGAAAGUGGGGUACUGCUAUGAAGAGUGGGUAUCCAAAAAUGUGAAAGCGACUUUGGAACUGGGUAUCAGGCAGAAGUUGGAACAGUUUGGAGGGCUCAGAGGAAGACAGAAAGAUGUGGGAAAGUUUGGAAAUUCUUAGAGACUUGUUGAAUGGUUUUGACCAAAAUGCUAUUAUGGUCAAUGAAGUCCAGGCUGAGGUUGUCUCAGAUGAAGAUUAGGAAGCCCCCACACAGAGUUCCCACUAGGGCAUUGCCUACUGGGGCUGUGAGAAGAGGGCCACUGUCUUCCAGAUCCCAGAAUGGUAGAUGCACUGAGAGUUUGCACCAUGCACCUGGAAAAGCCACAGACGCUCAAUGCCAGCCAUGAAAGCAGCCGUGAAAGCAGCUGUGGAGUCUGUACCCGGCAAAGGCAUAGGGGCAGAGCUGUCCAGGGCCAUGGGAGCCCACCUCUUGCAUCGGCAUGAACUGGAUACACUCUCUCUGUCUCUCCUGCCACCUUAUGAAGAAGGUGCCUGCUUCCCCUUCUGCCAUGAUCGUAAGUUCUCUGAGACCUCCCCAGCCAGCGGAAACAGUGAGUCAAUUAAACCUCCUUUGUUUAUUAAAUUACUCAGUCUUGGGUAGUGUCUUUACAGCAGUGUGAAAACGGACUAAUACAGAGAAUUUAGUCCAUUUACAUUCAAUGUAAUCAAUAAUAAGUAAGGAAUUACUUCUGCCAUUUUGCUGUUUGUUUUCUGUUUGUUUUGUGGUCUUUUCUUCCUUUUUUCUUUCCUUCCUGUCUUCCAUUUAGUGAAGGUGAUUUUUCUCUGGUUUUAGAAUUUGAUGUCUUGCUUUUUAUUUUUUGUAUCCUUUGCAUGUUUUCACAUUUGAUGUUAACAUGAGGCUUGUAAAUACCUUCUUAUAACCCAUUAUGUAUGCUGAUAACAACUUAACACUCUUUGCAUAAACAAACAACAAAUAGAAAACUAAUAAAAAUUCUACAUCCUAUAUCCCCCACUUUUUAGCUUUUUGUUGCUUUUACUUAUAUCUUUUUUUUUUUUUUUUGAGUUGGAGUCUCACUCUGUCUCCCAGGCUGGAGUGCAAUGGCAUGAUCUUGGCUCACUGCAAGCUCCGCCUGCCGGGUUCACACCAUUCUCCUUCCUCAGCCUCCCGAGUAGCUGGGACUACAGGCGUCUGCCAAGCCUGGCUAAUUUUAUUGUAUUUUUAGUAGAGACAGGGUUUCACCGUGUUAGCCAAGAUGGCCUCGAUCUCCUGACCUCACGAUCUGCCCACCUCGGCCUCCCAAAGUGCUGAGAUUACAGACGUGAGCCACCGUGCCCAGCCCACUUUUCCUUAUAUCUUAUGGUACUAUUUUUGCCUUGAAAAGUUAUUAUGGUUAUUAUUUUUGAUUGGUUCAAUGUUUAUUCUUUCUACUUAACAGUAGUUUACAUACUGGAGUUACGUAUUAUAUUAUUCUGUAUUUAUCUGUGUACUUACUAUUACCAGUGAGAUUUGUAUCUUCAGAUAAUUUCUUAUUGUUCAUUAAUGUUCUUUUCUUUCUAAUUGAAGUACUCCCUUUAGCAUUCCUUAUACGAUGGACCUGAUAUUGAAGAAUUUCCUUAGCUUUUGUUUGUCUGGGGAAGUUAUUUCUUCUUCAUGUUUGAAGGCAAGUUUCACCACAUGUACUAUUCUAGGAUAAAAGUGGAUUUCCUUCAGAAUUUUAAACAUAUCAUGGCAUUCUCUCUUGGCCUGUAAGGACUUUCAGACAUUUCUACUGAAAAGUCUUCUUAAGUUAUAUUGGAGCUUUAUUAUAUGUUAUUUGUUUCUUUUAUCUCGCUGGUGUUAGGACCCUUUCUUUAUUCUUGAUCUUUGGGGAUUUGAUUAUUAAAUGCCUUCAGGUAGAUUUUAUUAUUAAAUGCCAACUGCUUGGUGGUCAAUAACCCUUUUGUAUUUCAAUAUUGAUAUCUUUCUCCAGGUUUGGAAAUUUCUCUGUUAUUGUCUCUUUGAAUAAACUUUCUAGCCUUCUCUUUCUACUUCCUCUUUAAGGCCAAUAACUCAGAUUUGCCUUUUUGAGGCUAUUUUCUACAUCUUGUAGGUGGGCUUCAUUGUGUGUGUGUGUGUGUGUGUGUGUGUGUGUGUGUGUGUGUGUGUUUUGGCUCCUCUACGUAUUUUUAAAUAGCCUGUCUUCAAGCUCACUAAUUCUUCCUUCUGCUCAAACAAUUCUGCUAUUAAGAGAAUCUGAUGCAUGCUAUAGCAUGUCAAUUAUAUUUAUCAACUCAAUAAUUUAUGCUUGAUUCUUUUCAAUUAUUUCAAUUUCUUUGCUAAAUGUAUCUGAUAGGGUUCUCAAUUCCUUCUUUGUGUUAUCUUGAAUUUCUUUGAGUUUCCUCAAAAGAGUAAUUUUGAAUUCUCUGUCUGAAAGGAUUGGUCCCUGGUGCCUCCUAUAAUUUGUUGGUUGAAGUCAUGUUUUUCUGGAUGGUUUUGAUACUUGUUAAUUUUUUUAGUGUCUGGGCAUUGAAGAGUUAGGUAUGUAUUGUAGACUUAGCAGACUCAGCUAGUUUGUACCCGUCGUUUUGGGAAGGCUUUCCAGAUAUUUGAAAGGACUUUGGCAUUGAGAUCUAAGCAGUAUCUGCAUUAGGGGAAACUCCAAGCCCAGUAAUGCUGUAGUUCUUGCAGAAUCAUAGGCAUAAUGGCUUUAUGGUCUUGGAUAAAACUGAAAAAAAUUCUCUGGAUCACCAGGCAGAAACUCUUGUUGUCUUUCUUUACUUUUUCUCAAACAAACGGAUUGUCCCUCUGUUUUGAGCCAUCUCGAGUUUGGGGUGGGAUGAAAUGAGCACCUCUGUAGCCUCUGCCUCUGAGACUGUGUUAGGUCUGACCUGAAGGCAGCACAGCACUUGGUCUCACCCCAAACCCACUGUAACCACUACCUGGCUACUGCCUGUAUUUGCUUACGUCACUGGGCAGUGACGUAAAUCAGCAGGCAGUGAAGCAAGCCAGGCUUCUAUCCUUUCCUUCAGGAUGAUGAGUUCCCUUAAGCCCUGGGUGAGUCCAGUAUUAUCUUCUAGGAGCCAGGGACUGAAGUGAUACAGCUUAGAAGUCUACCUGAUGUUCUAUUUACAGUGCAGCUGAGCUGGUACUCAACUAUGGGACACAAUUCUUCUCACCCUUUCCUCCUUUUUCCACAGGGAGAGGCACUUCACCUUCUGGUAACCAACACCACAGGCUUAUGGGGAUUACUGCAAGGUGAUGAGAGAUGUUCCCUUAAGCCCCAAGUGCUCUUCAGUCAUUUUGUGAUGAAUGCUGUCAGACCUAGGACUCACCCUUCAGUGCAGUGGACUCCUCUCUGUCCCAGGGCAGGUUCAGAAAUGCUCAGAAAUGCCACCCAAGAGCCAAGGCCUUGAAUUCAGGACCCCAAGAGCCUACUUGGUGUUCCGACCUAUUGUGGUCAAGCUGGUACCUAGGGUGCAAAACAAAGUCCCCAUUAUUUUUCUCCAGCAGAGGGAGUGUCUCCUAGUAGCCAACACAGCUGGGAUUAUGCCGAGUCUCACGUGAAGCCUACAUGUCUUGGAGUCUCACCCAAAGCCCACAGCAUAUGACAUGAGUAUCAUUGCUGAUUAUUCAGAGCUCAAAGGCUCUUUAGUCAGUAGGUGAUGGGUCCUGCCAGGUCUAGAUUCCUUCCUGCAGGCAGUGGGUUCCGUUAUGGUCAGGAUGUGUCUAGAAAUAUUAUCCAGGAACUAGGGCCUGGAAAGGGGGCCUCAUGGCUCUGACCAAUUUCUCUGGCUACUACUUCCAGUGCUAUACUGAAUAGGAGUGCUGUUGGAUUCAGUUUGCUAGUAUUUUGUUGAGUAUUUUUUCAUCUUUGGUCAUCAAGGAUAUUGGACAGUUGUUGUCUUUUUUUACUGUGUCUUUGCUAGGUUUUAGUGUCAGGGUGAUGCUAGCUUUUUAGAUAACUUAGGAAACAGUCCAUCUUCAAAUUUUUUGGAAUAGUUGUAGCGGAAUUGGUACCAGCUCUUCUUUGCAUGUCUGAUAGAAUUUGGCUGUGAAUCCAUCUGGUACAGGGCUUUUGUUGAUUUAUUUUUUUAAAAUACUGCUUCAAUUUUAGAACUUGAUAUUGGUCUAUUAGGGUUUCAAUUUCUUUCUUGUUCAAUCUUGGGAGGUUGUGUGUUUCUGGGAAUUUAUUUUCUCUAUAUUUUCUAGUCUUUGUGCAUAUAGGUGUUCAUAAUAGUCUCAGCAUAUUUUGUAUUUCUGUGAGAUAGGUUGUAAUGCCACCUUUGUUGUUUCUGAUUUUGCUUAUUUUAAACUUUUCUCUUUUGUGUUUAUCUAGUUAUUAGUCUAUUGAUCUUGUUUAUUCUUUCAAAGAACCAACCUUUGGUUUCACUGACCUUUGUAUUAAAUUUUGGGUCUCAAUUUCAUUCAGUUCUGCUCUGAUUUUAGUGAUUUUUUUCUGCUACCUUUGGGGUUACAUUGUUCUGUUUUUUUCUAGUUCCUGUAGGUGUGACUUUAGAUCAUUAAUUUGAGAUCUUUCUAACAUUUUAAGGUUGGUGAUUUACACUUUAAUCUUUCCUCUUAACACUGCUUUUGCUACGGCCCAUAGAUGUUGGUAUGUUGUUUCUCUAUUUAUUUCAAAUAAUUUAAUUUCUGCCUUAUUUUGUCGUUCACCUAAAAGUCAUUCGGGAGAAAGUUGUUUAAUUUCCAUGUAAUUGUGUGAUUUUUGAGAUUUGUGAUUUUUGGUAUUGGUUUCUAUGCUUAUUCCACUCUGGUACAAGAGUAUGGAUGGCAUGGAUUUCAUUUUUUUUUUUUUUUGUGGAAAUUAUUGAGGCUUGCUUUAUGGGAAACUAUGUGUUUGAUCUUGGAGUAUAUUUUGUGUGCAGAUGAGAAUUUAUAUUCUGUGUCUGAUAGGUGAAGUAUUCUGUAGAAGUCUAUUAGGUUCUGUUAGCCAAAUGUUGAAUAUAAGUCCAAAAUUUAUUUGUUAAUUUCUGCCUUGAAGAUCUCUUUAACACUGUCAGUGGGGCACUGAAGUCCCUCGCCAUUAUUGUGUAGUUAUGUAUGUCUUGUUGUGGGUUUAGAAGUAAUUACUUUAUAAAUCUGGGUGCUCCAAUGUUGGACAUGUAUAUAUUUAGAAUAGAUAAGCCAUCUUGUUAAUUGAACACUUCAUUAUUACGUAAUGCUAUUCUUUAUCCUUUUUUAUUAUUGGAUUAAGGUCUGUUUUGUAUGAUAUAGUCAUAGUGACACCUGCUCAUUUUUGUUUUCUUUUUCUUUUUUCUUUGAGAUAGAGUUUCACUCUUGUUGCCCAGGCUGGAGUGCAAUAGCAUGGUCUCAGCUCACUGUAACCUCCACCUCCUGGGUUCAAGUAAUUUUCCUGUGUCGGACUCCCAAGUAGCUGGGAUUACAGGUGCCUGCCACACCCAACCAAUUUUGUGUUUUUAGUAGAGAUGGGGUGUCACCAUGUUAGUCAGGUUGGUCUCAAACUCCUGACCUCAGGGGAUCCACCCUCCUUGGCCUCCCAAACUGCUGGGAUUACAGACGUGAGCCACCGCACCCUGCCUUGUUUUCUUUUUAUGUGGUAGAUUUUUUUCUCACUGUUUACAUCAACCCAUGUGAUACAGGUCUUUUGAAAAUAGAAGAUGGAUGGGUCUUGUAUUUGUAUCCAUCCUGCCACUCUGUGCCUUUUAAAUGGAGGCAUUUAGACUGUUUAAAUUCAAGGUUAAUAUUGAUAUGUGAAGUUUUAAUCCUAUCAUGAAGUUGUUAGCUGGUUCCUCUGUAGUUUCUACUGUGUCAUUGCUUCAUAGGGUCUGUGGGCUAUGUUUUUUAGUAUGGUUUUGUGAUAGCAGGUUUCAUUCUUUUAUUUUGACAUUUAGAACUCCCUUAAGGAUCUAUUGUAAGGCUUUUUUAUUGGUAACUAAUUCCCUUAGCCCUUGCUUGUUGGGAAAAGCAACAAAGCAAAUAAUCAAAUUUCUCUUUUGAUUAUGAAGUUUAGUUUGGUAGGAUAUAAAAAUUCUUGGAUGAAAUUUUUCUUAAAGAAUGGUAAAAAUAGACCCCUAAUCCUUCCUGGAUUGUAAGAUAUCUACUGAUAAAUCCACUGUUAGCCUGUUGGGCUUCCCUUUAUACAUGAUCUAACCUUUUUCCCCUGGCUGCCUUUAAGAAUUUUUCUUUAACAUUGACUUUGGAGAGUCUGAUGACUAUAUACCUUUGGUGAUGUUUGUUUUCUACACUAUCUUGCAGUUAUUCUCUGGAUUUCUUGCAUCUAGAUACCAACCUCCCUAGGAAGAGUAGGAAAUUUUUUUUUGAAUUAUUUGUUCACAUUAUUUGUUUGUCUCCUUCUCUUUUGGCAAUACCAAAUAAUUUUUAGGUUUGCUUACUUUGAAUUAUCCCAAAUUUCUCAAAGACUUUGUAUAUUUCUAAAAAUUGUUUUAAAAAUUUUUGUCUGAUUAUAUUUGUUAAAAAGACUGGUCUUCAAGCUCUUAAAUUAUUUCUUUUUCUUGGCCUGACUGUAUUAGUUAGAAAGACUUGUCUUCAAGCACUUAAAUUGUUUCUUUUUCUUGGUCCAGUCUAAAUUGCUAAAGCUCUCAAUUGUAUUUUGAAAUUCCUUAAGUGAGUUUUUCAAUUCCAGAUGCUCAGAUUUAUUUCCUUUUAGAAUGUUUAUCUGUUUCAUCAUUUACUAGAUUGCUUUAGAAGUUUCAUCAUGUUGAUUUUCUUUGUGUUGUCUUGGAUCUUUUUGAGCUUCCUUGCAAUCCAUGCUUCAAAUUUUUAUCUAUAAUUUCUCAGUUUCCAUUUUGAUUACAUUGCUGGAGAGCUCUUUCCAUCCUUUGGUGUGUCAUUACAUUUAGAUUUUUCAUGGUGCCCAAAUUCUUGUGCUGUUUCCUUCUCAUCUGGGGACAUUAACAUUUACAAUUUUGUAAUUAUUUUCAUACAGGUGAAUAUUUUAUUUUUGUUUUAUUCCCUAUAUAUUUUUUUUCUUUUCCUUUCCCUCUUCACUAUAGGGUGUGACUCUUGAGAGUACUGAGCAGGGUCUUUUGGCUUUGUUUCUAUAGCCCUAUGCACGUCUGUCACUAGGUUUUAUACUGGGCUGUGCAGUUUGACCUACAAGCCAGUAGAUGGUACUUACAGGUAACAGCCAGCUGCAGCCAAUGUGGCUGAGUAUAUACUUGAUCUUGUUACUGAGAUAAUCUCUCUGUUUCCUCAGGAAAUGGGCUGAUUCAUGAAGUACACAGUGGUCUUAGCUCCCUGCUUAGUCUUGGGGGACUGGGGCCAAGAUAGGCAGGGCUGGCCUAGGCAGGUUCACCUACAGGUCCCCCAAUUGCCAGCAUAAGCACCAAAACUGAGGAAGAAUUCAGUGGGUGGCCACCAAGCACCCACAAAUAUGUCUAAAUGUGGAUUUAGGAAGCCUUUCUGGCCCCAGGUUCUCUGCAUUGGGAUGGUGGCUGGUCUAAACUCCUAAUUUUAGAACAGUGGGUGCUCCAGAUGCCUGGAGAUCUCCCUGUAUAUCAAGCAUGGAGUCCCCUCCAUGCACCAGGAUUUCUGCACAGGAAGUGUGGGGUAGCUCAGGCCACUAUUUGAGGCAAACAGGUGCUCUAGAUGCCUAGAGAUGGGCCUGGGUUGGAGUAGAGAGGGCUUCUAUGCAAGAAGAUUUCUGCAUAGGAAGAGUAGGGUGAGAGAGACUGCCAAUCCCAGUGAGCAGAUGUUCUGAAUGCCUGGAUCUCUGCCUGGGCUUAGAGCAGAAAGAACCUCACUGCACCAUGAUGUAAGCCCAGGAAGAAUGGGGUAUAUGAGACUGAUGAACCAGUUGAAUGAUUACUCCAAAUACCUGGAGAUCUGCCUGGGCAUGAAGCAGAAAGUUCCUCCCUGCACCAUGAUCUAUGUCUAGGAAGAGUGGAGAAGUUUUCUCAAGAGGGAUUUGCAGAGACAGGAUGCUAUGAAAUUACCUCUCCCAUGCCCUCCACAGUACUAAGACUGAGGUACCUGUCUACAUCAAAAGAUGAGUACUACAAUGCAGAUGACUUAGCCAGUUGGCUGACUAGGGAUGUUGGAUGCCAGGUCUCCUCAGAAAGAUCAAAGUUACAGGUGAAUGCCCAUGAUUUAAAUGGAAAUCUGAGGGAAUGAAGCAAGGACCUGUUGGAGCACCCAUGGGAAGAACCUGGGGCACAAAAGAGGAAAGCAGCAAGAGACUGACAGAGAUUGUCUCCCUAGAAACCUGGACCACGAAAAGGGUGGAGAGGAGAAAACUCUGUGCUAAAUAUUACUCCUGGAAAAGUGCAUUUGCUUCGGAGAAAUCUUUAUCAUGGGUCUCUAAGAGGAAGGAACAAUAGCAUCUUCUAUGUGCCGAGGUAGCGCAAUAAUGAACUCUGUUCAAGUGGAUCAAAAGCCAUCAAGGUCAAAAUUAGGCACAGGCUGUACAGGAAGCGUGAUUCUGGCAUCUGUUUGGUUUCUGGGAAGGCCUCAGGAAACUUAAAGUCAUGGAAGAAGGGGAAGGGAGAGCAGGCACGUCUUACAUGACCAAAGCAGGAAGAAGAGAGAGAAGUGUGGAGGUGCUAUACACUUUUAAACAGCCAGAUCUUGUGAGAACUCUGUCAGAAGAACAGCACUAGGGAAAUGGUGCUAAACCAUUCUUGGGGACUCCAUCCCUGUGAUACAAUCACCUCCCACCAGGCCCCACCUCCAACACUGAGAAUUACAACUCAACAUGAGAUUUGGAUGGGGACACAGAUCCAAACCAUAUCAAAUUUUCACACCUUUCAGUAAAGCUUUAUAUUUUUUAAGGAUAUUUAAGUACUUGGAAGUAGAAGUAGAGAGUAAGGGGAAUAUUGUACAGCCAUCACAGCCUUUGUCUACUAAAGAAGUCAGUUUCAUGUGACAAAUGUUCAUUUUAAUAUUCGCUUCUUCAGUCCAUCUGGGGGUGUUUCCUUAUUUCUAUAAGAUGCUGCUUUUCAAAAAAAUUACCGAAAGCAUUCUGGAAAUCCAAGAGUAAUUGUGUGAACUAUAAGCAUUAGAAAACACAGACAUAAGUUGAAAAUAUUUAUGAACCUAAAUAGAUGUAAAGCUAGUGACUCAUAUUUUAUAAUGUAUUCACAGAUGAUAUUUCUUAAAUAAAGUAGGCAUUUCUUUAAAAUAAAAACUCUAAUAAUAUAUGUUAUUAAGAAGAAAACUAGAAAAGGAAGAAAAAAAGUGAUGGUAUGUUUGGAAGAUGCUGAGGUGAGCUGGUGAUAAAAUUAUCUCCACUGAAAAAGGAAUACAAAGAGCAGACACUGAAUAAGCCAGACAAUGUUUGAGUUUUUUCUGAAACCACUGUGCAGUUUUGGACUUUGACCUGAUUUAAUUUUCACCUCUGUUCUUCCUCCCACUCCUUCUCUUCCUUCAUCUCAUCCUCCUCUGCCUUUUACCUCUUUUAAAAAUUGCAUUUUGCAAACAAAUACAUGUUUGCCAUCAAUGAAACUAUUUCAAGAGUUCUAUAGAGAUCAAAAUGAAGGGCUUCCUGCGUUGAUGGUUAAUUCUACCAUCUUCCCCAGGUGCAACAGCUGUUAGCAGUAUAGCCUUCAGUUACCAGUUUCAGGCAUUUACCUAUGCGUCUGAACAAAUGCAUUAAAAAAUAAUGAACACACAUGCAAACUGGUUUGUUUCCAUUUUACUUAGCUCUGUAAGGUGCCAUGUUUUACAUAUUCUGCAAAUUCUCCCCAUGUACAAUACACAUAAACCCAGUAUUAUUUUUAACAUCUCCAAUAUUUUGGUACACUUCAAUUUAUUUACCACUUGUUCCCAAUUCUUGGUGAUAUCAAUGUGUCAAGCUCUUUCAAAAGAACUUUGGUUUAUCAUCCGCCUUUCACCCUGACCAUUUAUAUGUUCAUUUUGCUUUGACAAGCAGGACUUGACUUCUUUCAGCUUCCUGACUCACUUGGAAUUGUAUCAACAGGUGACUGUUAUG
rnacentral:lncRNA from 10 species